rnacentral:rRNA from 1 species
UACAGAGACUGCAAGCGUUAUUCGGAUUCACUGGGCGUAAAGGGUGCGCAGGCGGCCAAGUGUGUGAGGCGUGAAAGCCCGGGGCUUAACCCCGGAAUUGCACCUCAAACUACAUGGGCUAGAGCAUUGGAGAGGGUAGCAGAAUUCAUGGUGUAGCAGUGAAAUGCGUAGAUAUCAUGAGGAAUACCAGAGGCGAAGGCGGCUACCUGGACAAUUGCUGACGCUCAGGCACGAAAGCGUGGGGAGCAAAAGGG